rnacentral:rRNA from 1 species
GACGAACGCUGGCGGCGUGCUUAACACAUGCAAGUCGAACGAUGAAGCUGGAGCUUGCUCCGGUGGAUUAGUGGCGAACGGGUGAGUAACACGUGAGCAAUCUGCCCUUGACUCUGGGAUAACUGCGGGAAACUGUAGCUAAUACCGGAUAUGAGGCUUGGAGGCAUCUCCAGGUCUGGAAAGAAUUUCGGUCAAGGAUGAGCUCGCGGCCUAUCAGCUAGUUGGUGAGGUAAUGGCUCACCAAGGCGACGACGGGUAGCCGGCCUGAGAGGGUGACCGGCCACACUGGGACUGAGACACGGCCCAGACUCCUACGGGAGGCAGCAGUGGGGAAUAUUCCCCAAUGGGCGAAAGCCUGAGGGAGCGACGCCGCGUGCAGGAUGACGCCCUUCGGGGUGUAAACUGCUUUUAUGUGGGACGAACUAAUGACGGUACCACAUGAAUAAGAGGUUGCUAACUCUGUGCCAGCCGCCGCCGUAA